CCAUCGUCCAAGACAAGUCAACAAAAGAGAAAAGAAAAACUAAAAACUAAUCCUAAGGCAUUCUAUCCUCCUACCCGUCGACCCUUACCCAAGAAAAAGAAAUAAAAUUUCAUCUUCCUUUCCAAGAGCUAACCGAUGCACACAUUCUUCUUUUCUUCUUCUCUUUCUUUUCAUCUUCAAGUAAACAAGCUCCUUUAUCUUCCUCAGGCUUGUGACUCCAUAGCAAUGGAAGAAGAAAAAUAUUUUCUUCAAAGCUUGAUCUUAUCUUCCAAAGGAUGAAAUAUUGAAGGUAAUAAACUCUUUGUUCACUUCCUAGCAUGAUUUUCAUAUGGAUUUCGAAUUUCACCAUUUCCUUACCCAUUGACGUUUCGGUUUUGGGGUUAAAACAAUGCUAUCACUUUGUUCUUCAUCUACAAGGGUUUAUCACCAAUUGGUCCUCCACUUGUGUUUUGAAAGAAGCUAAGAGCUCAAGAAUAUGAAUAUUGACGAUGGAAGUAUCGAGAAGCAUAGAGGUAAUGACAAAAAGGCUGGGGAGCAAGGCAUUACUGCAGAGGAAGAGGCAGACGCUUAGGACCUUCCCUAACUAGAACAGUUACGUUAUGAAUGAUGGGCCAUGUUUAUGUAUAGACGUUUUAUGUGGGGAUGGACUCUAAGAGUCUCUUAUGGAUGAAUGUUCAAAUAGAAUAUCUAUCAGGUGUUCUCUUUAUUAGAUCAAAGAUUUAGAGUGCA